CGGAAUCUACCUUUUCGUGGGGGAUAACGUAGGGAAACUUACGCUAAUACCGCAUACGACCUUCGGGUGAAAGCAGGGGACCUUCGGGCCUUGCGCGGAUAGAUGAGCCGAUGUCGGAUUAGCUAGUUGGCGGGGUAAAGGCCCACCAAGGCGACGAUCCGUAGCUGGUCUGAGAGGAUGAUCGGCCACACUGGAACUGAGACACGGUCCAGACUCCUACGGGAGGCAGCAGUGGGGAAUAUUGGACAAUGGGCGCAAGCCUGAUCCAGCCAUACCGCGUGGGUGAAGAAGGCCUUCGGGUUGUAAAGCCCUUUUGUUGGGAAAGAAAAGCAGUCGGCUAAUACCCGGUUGUUCUGACGGUACCCAAAGAAUAAGCACCGGCUAACUUCGUGCCAGCAGCCGCGGUAAUACGAAGGGUGCAAGCGUUACUCGGAAUUACUGGGCGUAAAGCGUGCGUAGGUGGUUGUUUAAGUCUGUUGUGAAAGCCCUGGGCUCAACCUGGGAAUUGCAGUGGAUACUGGGCGACUAGAGUGUGGUAGAGGGUAAUGGAAUUCCCGGU
rnacentral:rRNA from 1 species